ACGGGGGGUGCAAGCGUUGCUCGGAAUCAUUGGGCGUAAAGCGCGUGUAGGCGGCUUAACAAGUCAGAUGUGAAAUCCCUGGGCUUAACACUGGAAGUGCAUUUGAAACUGUUUAGCUUGAGUAAGGGAGAGGAAAGUGGAAUUCCUGGUGUAGGGGUGAAAUCCGUAGAGAUCAGAAGGAACACCGGUGGCGAAGGCGACUUACUGGAACAAUACUGACGCUGAGACGCGAAAGCGUGGGGAGCAAACAG
rnacentral:rRNA from 1 species